rnacentral:rRNA from 1 species
GACGAACGCUGGCGGCGUGCUUAACACAUGCAAGUCGAACGGAAAGGCCCUGCUUGCAGGGUACUCGAGUGGCGAACGGGUGAGUAACACGUGGGUGAUCUGCCCUGCACUUCGGGAUAAGCUUGGGAAACUGGGUCUAAUACCGGAUAGGAACCAUCUUUAGUGUGGUGGUUGGAAAGUUUUUUCGGUGUAGGAUGAGCUCGCGGCCUAUCAGCUUGUUGGUGGGGUAAUGGCCUACCAAGGCGGCGACGGGUAGCCGGCCUGAGAGGGUGUACGGCCACAUUGGGACUGAUAUACGGCCCAGACUCCUACGGGAGGCAGCAGUGGGGAAUAUUGCACAAUGGGCGCAAGCCUGAUGCAGCGACGCCGCGUGGGGGAUGAAGGCCUUCGGGUUGUAAACUCCUUUCGCUAGGGACGAAGCUUUUUGUGACGGUACCUAGAUAAGAAGCACCGGCUAACUACGUG